CAGCUCUAGGAAGCUAAUACAGCAAUGCUCAUAAUAGCAUCAAAAUUUUUUCUAUUCUAAGAUCCUUUGCAGUGGCAAACGUCUCUAGUGAAGAUUCACAGCCAACCACAGGCACAUGCCACGAAAAGCAGGUUAAGCAUUUAUCAUUGCCUUGGGUGUCAUACCUUACCUCAUGUAAUCCUUGUAAUAACACAGUGAUGUCUAAUUCUCCCAGUUUUCAGGAUGAAGAAAUAGAGGUCUGAAGAACUUCGAGGAACAUUCAUAGAACUGAUAAACUAGCACAUGCUGAAGCUGGGAAUCCAGUCGGGGAAAGUGUACCCUGCAUCUACACAAUGCCCUCAGCAGUAGCUCAGGCCAGCUGCACACAGCAGGUCAGCCUGUGCACAGAAUGUACCUGAUUGUGCAAGACAGCAGCCCUGUACUGGCUGAUGGGAAUGCAAUGAUGACAAACAAGCUACGAGAAAUUGUCAGACAUGUCAGAGUCAUUUAAUAUGCCACUAAAAUGUCAGGUAGCAAUCUGUAUUCAUCUGUUUUCUGUUGCUUAUAAUAGAAUACUCACAUUUUGUUAGUCUGUUUGGAGUCUCCUAUUUUUUUUUUUUUUUUUUUUUUUUUUAGACAGAGGUUUUUCUUUUACCCUCACCCUUACCUGCUUGAGCCGAUUAAGCUACUUUACCAAAGAGCCACACUUACCACACCUACUAUUAAACUGGGACAGGCCUUUCGGUUUCCAAAAAGAAUCUCAUGCAAGAAUAGAGCUUUACCAUCGUGGCCUUUUUUUUUUUUUUUUUUUUUUUUUCUUUUCUUUCCUAACUGUAGUUUUCUGGCUUUGUCUCUAUUUGGAUUUCUGGAUCAAGUCUGGUUUUAUUUCUGGUUUGAGGAAGGGCAGUAAUUAAUUCCCUAUUAAGGGCUGAAAGAUAUUGACAGGGGUAAGGGGGCAAGUAACAGAAGGGGUUUACCCAUCUUUUUUGUCUGUUUGGUUUGGAGAGUCUGACAUCUUUUGUUGUUAAAAUAUUAGUACAAACAUUCUAUAAAAUGAAGAGACAUGUUUUAGAAAUACUGUAAGCUGGCAACAAGAUUUGUUAUGGAAAGAACCAUCAGGCCAUGUACAAGUAUGCACUGAACUUGCAAUGAGGUAAUCUUCAUGAGCUCCAUUUGAAAUUAACCGGGCAGAAGCCUUGCCUAUCCUCUCCCUCUCUGGUAACUGUGCUGAUGGCUAGACACCCGCAAAGCAAACUUCUCUUCUGUAAGCUUCUAUCACUCAAGAAACUUUCCUGUGCCUACUAAAAAGGCAAACAGCCUUUUGAGAUCUGGAAUGGCUGAAGUUAGAAAAGUCAUGAAGCUACUAGUUCUUUUCUUGUGUGAAAAAAAUAGGUGUUUUCUCUUCUGGCAAAAUGAAAGUGAUUAACGCUUCUAAUACAGUUUGUUUACUACAUUUUGCAUUUGUGGUUACUCCUCCUCUUCUCCAACCUCUUUUCUUUUCUCUCUCCUCAUCUCUCAAAAAACUUUCAGUGAUUAGUGGGUUAUAAAGCUCUUUUAUUUUGUGUGUGGUCUAUGGCUAACUAGUUCAGUCAGCUCUAACAUCAAAGAGAAGAAAUGAGCCACUUACAUUGAUAAAGUGGCUUAUGUUUAGCAGACUUGCCUCGAUUAGCGUAGAGAACCAAAGAAACACAUAUCAAUUUCAAAUAAAGAUUUUAAAGGUUUAAAAUAAAUGUAAAAGUAAUUGCAGAAAGAAUGUGGAAAAUCAAAUUUAAUGCUUUCAACAUGAAGAUUCUUUAAGAAAACAACUUCAAAAGUUUGCUAAAUUUAUACUUCAGAGGAACAAAAAAGUUUAACUUUGAGAUAAAUUAGUGGCUUUGGUUAUAGGUUACAAGAUAAAAAAACAAAGAAAUGUGAAGGGGCUUAAAACACAAUUUAAAGAGUUUUUAAUAUUUGGUAAGUCUAGAGAUUUAUAACAUAUAAAUCUAUCUAAAAGUUUAAAACACACUCUGAUGCCAGGUAAAAAAUUUC
rnacentral:lncRNA from 1 species